ACGUGCCCCAUGGGAAUACACGCAUGCCCCCCCACGUGUACACGGGCAUAGACAGGUGCCCACGUACCCCCACGUGUGAACACUGGUGAACGUGUGCCCCAAUGCGUGUCCACACGCGUGAUCCCUCGUGGCCGCGUCUGCGCGCGUCCCCCUCAGACACGCGUGUGCCUGCACCCGUGUCCCCUCAUGUGUGGGUCUGUGCGUGUCCUCUAGGUACGUGGCCCACGUUUGUAGCAAUGCGUGUGUCCCCAUGCACACGUGUGUCCCCUCCAUGUGUCCCCAUGUGCACAUGUGUGUCCCCUCUAUGUGUCUGUGUCCCCUUGUACAUGUGUGUCCCCUCUGUGUCUGUGUCCCCAUGCACACGUGUGCCCCCUCCAUGUGUCUCUAUGUGUCCCCAUGUACACGUGUGUCCCCUCCAUGUGUCCCUAUGUACACGUGUGUCUCCUCCAUGUGUUCCCAUGUACAUGCAUGUCCCCUCCCUGUGUCCCCAUGCACAUGUGUGUCCCCUCUGUGUGUGUCUGUGUCUCCAUGUACACAUGUCCCCUCCAUGUGCCCCUAUGUACAGGUGUGCCCCCUCCAUGUGUCUCUAUGUGUCCCUAUGUACACGUGUGUCCCCUCCUUGUGCCUAUAUGCGUCCCCAUCUACACAUGUGUCCCCUCUGUGCCUCAGUUUCCCCAGGUACACGUGUGCUCCUCUGUGUCUCUGUGUGUCCUCAUGUACAUGUGUGUCACCUCCCUGUUUCCCCAUGCACACUUGUGUCCUCUCCAUGUGUCCCCAUGUACACAUGUGUCCCCUCUAUGUGUCUCUAUGUGUCCCCACACACACGUGUGUCCCCUCCAUGUGUCCCCAUGAACACGUGUGUCCCCUCCAUGAGUCCCUGUGUCCCCACGUACACGUGUCCCUCUAUGUCUGUGUCCCCACAUACACGUGUGUCCCCUCCAUGUGUCCCCAUGUACAUGUCUGUCCCCUCCUUGUGUCCCCAUGCACACGUGUGCCCCAUGUCUCUAUGUGUCCCCCCGUACACAUGUCCCCUCCGUGUCUCUACACACGUCCCCCCAUGUACACACGUGUCCAUAUGUCCCUCCCAUGUACACAUCCCCCACGUGUCUAUACACCCGUGUCCCCCCCAUCCCUAUGCCCCUAUACGUGUGCCCCAUGUACCUGAGUGUCCAUAUGGAUGUCCCCCAUGGAUGUGUCCCCACAUGCCCCCCCCAUAGACACGUGGUACACCCACCUAC
rnacentral:lncRNA from 1 species